GGCCAAGUGGUCUAGUGGUAUGAUUUUCCGUUAGGGUCGGAGAGAUCCCGGGUUCAAUUCCCGGCUUGGCCC
rnacentral:tRNA from 1 species